rnacentral:lncRNA from 1 species
UAUAACCCCUUAUCCCCUUUUUAUACCCCAAACGUAAAUUUUUUAUCCGAGAAUAAUAAUUCUCGGGUACUCGAAAUAAGCUGGUAUAACUAUUUCCACCAAUUUCUUCAUUUUCUAUAUAUAACUAUCCACUAUUUUUCUUAUUUCAUAUUUAUCUAUUCAAACAUUAUUUUUUUUAUCUCCGGAAACAAUCUAAUUUUUAUCCAAAUACUAUUUUUCUUAUCCUCAUACUUGUAUUUAUUUUUUUAAUAACUAGUUCUUGCUUAUACCCGAACCAAACAGUUCAAAGGAUAAAUACAAAAGUAGG